rnacentral:misc_RNA from 1 species
CACCGUAGCAAAGGGGAGUAACUUCCUUAGCCGGUUUAUCGUCAUUACGAUGCAAUCGCAUCCGGUAGCCGGGCAACCUUGAACUUAUACCCGAUGGUACAUUUUCUGUGUUGUAAGUGAGACCUUGCCAGAAGG